UUCAAUGACAGGUCUUAUUAUUAGCGAGAUACGAUUAAGCCUUGUCUAGCGGCUUGAUAAGAGAUUGAUAGACUCGCAGUUUCUAGACUUGAGUUAUGUGUCGAGGGGCUGUUAAAAUAAUACAUAACCUAUGGUUGUAGACAAAUAUGUUGGCAGGUGUUUGGACGUGGGUUCGACUCCCACCGGCUCCAUUA
rnacentral:tmRNA from 1 species